CUGUGAGACAGGUGCUGCAUGGCUGUCGUCAGCUCGUGUUGUGAAAUGUUGGGUUAAGUCCCGCAACGAGCGCAACCCUUAUCCUUUGUUGCCAGCGAUUAGGUCGGGAACUCAAAGGAGACUGCCAGUGAUAAACUGGAGGAAGGUGGGGAUGACGUCAAGUCAUCAUGGCCCUUACGACCAGGGCUACACACGUGCUACAAUGGCGCAUACAAAGAGAAGCGACCUCGCGAGAGCAAGCGGACCUCAUAAAGUGCGUCGUAGUCCGGAUUGGAGUCUGCAACUCGACUCCAUGAAGUCGGAAUCGCUAGUAAUCGUGGAUCAGAAUGCCACGGUGAAUACGUUCCCGGGCCUUGUACACACCGCCCGUCACACCAUGGGAGUGGGUUGCAAAAGAAGUAGGUAGCUUAACCUUCGGGAGGGCGCUUACCACUUUGUGAUUCAUGACUGGGGUGAAGUCGUAACAAGGUAACCGUAGGGGAACCUGCGGUUGGAUCACCUCCUUA
rnacentral:rRNA from 1 species